GGUGGACGCGUAUUAUUGGGCUGUACAUUCCUGGGUUGAGCAUUCUCGGGCCGCGCAAUAUUGGUCCGGGGCGAUAAUACGAAGCCACUCUUUUCACAGGGCAAUAAUGUACGACCCCAUAAUUCGCGUCCAAUAAUUUGAGUCCCUUGGCUUUCAAUUAUUGGGCUGCGCAUUAUUGGUACAGGUCGAGAAAGCCCGACCCAAUAAUGUACGACCCAAUAAUAGGAAGCCAAAAACCAGAGAGAUUCUUUUUUUUAAGGGAGCUGUCAAAAUUAGUAGGGACGUUCUGACAUUAGCUCUUGACAAUUUAAAAAUAAUCGGUUUUUUCUAGUGCCAUCUUUCAGUGACAUUGACAGUAUUGUAUUGACACUUGUUGGUUUACAAAUACAAUAAAAUGAAUUCUAAUAAAAGAAACAGUAGACUCAGUAGAGGUACGAGGUACUGAAAAAAUAUUAAUUAAUGGAGAAGCCGAAGUUGGAGAACCUUCACGUCGCAAUUAUAGUGCUGUAUCAUUAUCUAAAGUGUUACAUUAACAUAAGAAGAAAUAUAUUGACGACAAAAAACAUGGAAACUGUCAACGAUGUAACGUUCCAGAUUUAAAAAUUACACCGUUUUUGCCUGUAUUUCACCGAAGAUUUUACAGAUGAGUAUUGUUUUCAUAAUUUAUAAGCCUAGUUUUUAGUUUAUUUGUCCACGAUUUCUAAUUGUCAUACUUUUUUUUUGCUACCUUCAUACGAUUUGAGGAGAACUUUGUUUAAAACAUAACAGGAUUUUAACAUACCUAAAUAUCUUAAUUCAUUCUUAAAUCACCUCAAGAACCAUUAAAUCAUACCCUGCGGUAAGCAGUUAACUUAUAAAACAGCAAAUUAUAAAGUUUAUUGUAUAAAAUCUAAGAAGCUUAUCAAUUACAAAUCAAGUCAUUUGUAGUUUACAUUUUUUUUUUUAAAUCACUAUAUUCUGUUAGAAGCAUUGAAUUUCAUUCAUCUAUUUUGCUCAGAUAUCAUACACUACCAAUAUGUUUACAGCUCAAACUACUAAGAUGACUACACGCAGGGAUGUCCUGGUUGCUAAAAUGCAGCAAUUACAGAAAGAACUGAAAACAGCCGAUGAAUUGAACAAGAGACUCCUUCAAGAACAGGAAGAGAGUGCAGAGCAAUUUGAGCAAGUUGUUAGAAUAAACACAACCCUCAAGUCUCAGCUCGCUAACCAGGAUGUUGAGUUCGAAGACAUGCAGGGGCAGCGGGAUGAACUUCAAGCUGCCGUUGAUCAGUUCAAGAAUUGUCAGGAGAUACAAGGUGGAGGUUUCUGCAAAACAUAUUGGAAAACAAGAAGAUUCGAGGAGAAUGGUGUGGCACUUAAUGCCGCCGGGACAGUAACCUAGCUGCAGCUCCAACUCUAGGGAAUUGGGCUGAAUGAACGCAACACGUGAUCGACAGCCCACCUGCUUCCUGCCGAGCGUCCCUACACUACAUCUACAUGGAUUCGCUUAUUCUGCUCUACAAAACUUCUGAGCUGAUACAAGCAGCCAGAAUGAGUCUCUGCUGAGUCGCCGGCGCCGGACGUGCGUCGCGCGCCUCGGGCGACUGACGUCUUCGUGUGAGUCGCCAAUUGCAGGGGAAGAUACGAAUAGUUAGGUAUAAAAGCUACUUUAGUCAACCUCGCCUCAGUACUGUUUGUAUUGACUGAAAUACAAGUAGCAUAUAUGAGACGUUCGGACGUAUCCGUGAAAAUACGAAGGUAAAGGAAAUUGCACUACAUUUUUAGAACCUAUUCACCUGUCAGUAAAAUAUUGAAAAGGAAAGUUCAUGAGUUUUAUUAUUUUCUUUCCUCCAACAGCUUCACAUGGAGCAAAUGUAA